ACCCCACUAUCCCUCCAUCCCCACUAUCCCUCCAUCCCCACUAUCCUCCAUCCCCACUAUCCCUUCAUCCCCACUAUCCCUCCAUCCCCACUAUCCCUCCAUCCCCACUAUCCCUCCAUCCCCACUAUCCCUCCAUCCCCACUAUCCCUCCACCACCCUAAGACAACAUCAACACUAAGCUAUAUUUAUUACCAUAGUCUUUCUUUUUAUUUUUGUGCACAAAGUCAACUUGCUACAUGAAGGAGGAGUCACUAUAUUAUAUCUCUCAGUCGGAGGAAGAACACUGAAGGUGUGUGUGUGUGUGGCGCGUGCCUGUGGCUACUAUCGGCCUACUGAGCACCAAGGGAUCAAUAUGCCACCAGAGAAAAGACAGACCUGGGUUCAAAUAUUAUUUGAAAUCUCUCAAAUAUUUUGAGCCCGUCUGGAGUGCCAGAUGGUCGGGCAGGAUUUGUACUUUUCAGACUAUUGCAUUGGUUCCGUUGUACCAAGCAGCUCAAUGAAAGAUUACAAAUACUAUUUGAACCCAGGUCUUAGCUCAUUGCGAUGGCUGGAAUGGAAAUAAUGUAACGGUAUAGAUAAAACUUACUUUUACCCACCAUAAAGCACCACAAUCAUAAGCUUGUUAGUAAUACCAGCGCAAACUCACACACCACACACUCACAACACAAAGGUUUUGAGAGAACGUUCAUCUUAUGUAACGAUCACUCGUCUUACCUAUUGCAUAUUUAUUUGUUUUAUAUAUUUAUUCAAUUUCUAUACUGUAAGGUCAAGUUUCAUGUUGAGAACACACACGUCUCUGCUGUGAAAACUUUCCUGGACCAUCCAUUCACCCGUGUAUUUUUACGCAUUGAGCCAAAGGAGCCAAAGACGUGUGUUCUAGAAGAUUCCACUGCCAUCCUGUGAUAUGAUAGGUGUGAUUCACAUUUCCAAAAUAACCCGUUUUGUAUGUACAGCAGAGGAGGCUGGUGGGAGGAGCUACAGGAGGACGGGCUCAUUGUAAUGGCUGGAACGGUAUCAAAGACAUUGAAAU
ensembl:lncRNA